CUACACACGAGCUUACCAUUUCAAACCGUCAAGACUCUUUUCUCCUUCCUUCUCUCUAUUCACAUUCGAUACUUUGAUGUAACGGCUAGGUUGUUGCUGUUUGUAAUGGUGCUCGCACUACCGUAUUAAUGAGAAAAUAUCACUCACCCUGUUGCUCCUGAUUCAACUCCGACCCAUGCGAAGUCCCUGCGAUUCCUCCGUCGAUUCCGCUUCCUGAAACAUGAAAAAUACGUUGAGUAGUAUUUUUCCGUUACUCACCUUGAUAAGAUGGUGGAUACGUCGGAAGUACUUCCAUGCCUCCUUCCAAGCUGAGAAACCCGCCUGGCAAUGCAUUGAUUUCUGGUUUGUUGGGGCAGUCGUCAUCGCUGCCAUAUUCUGGUAAUUCUAUUUUUGGCUGAAAACGAUGAGCAAAGUCCUUGUAAUCGAGUUGAACAUGAGGUUCAACUGGCGGACGAGAACGUUGAGUUGAGGUGGUGCCUGAGGGUGGCGUAGAUAUUGGACUAGAGUUUUGAGGUGAAUCACUUCGUUUACACAGCCUUUUUAAUGGCGGCGGACUCGUUGCCGGAGGCGUCCUACUGCGUUCAUCAUCCAAGCUUGGUGAGAUCAGGCCACUGCCGUUUGAUGCAUGGAUAUUGUUAGUCUUUGAGUGCUGCAGAUAAAUUCAUAAUUUUAUAGGUAAGCGGAAAUUACUAUUAUUUAGGUUCAAUAAAUUGAGAACUAUCAUUGAUUUCAAUGACAAUGAA